UACGUAGGGUGCAAGCGUUGUCCGGAAUUAUUGGGCGUAAAGAGCUCGCAGGCGGUCUGUCGCGUCGAAUGUGAAAACCCGGGACUCAACUCCGGGCCUGCAGCCGAUACGGGCAGACUAGAGUUCGGCAGGGGAGACUGGAAUUCCUGGUGUAGCGGUGAAAUGCGCAGAUAUCAGGAGGAACACCGGUGGCGAAGGCGGGUCUCUGGGCAACAACUGACGCUGAGGAGCGAAAGCGUGGGGAGCGAACAGG
rnacentral:rRNA from 1 species